AUACGGAGGAUGCGAGCGUUAUCCGGAUUUAUUGGGUUUAAAGGGUGCGUAGGCGGCCUUGUAAGUCAACGGUGAAAUUUUGCAGCUUAACUGUAAAAGUGCCGUUGAUACUGUGAGGCUAGGAUUUGGUUGCUGUGGGUGGAAUGUGUGGUGUAGCGGUGAAAUGCUUAGAGAUCACACAGAAUAUCGAUUGCGAAGGCAGCUCACAAAGCCAAGAUUGACGCUGAGGCACGAAAGUGUGGGGAUCAAACAGGAUUAGAUACCCUGGUAGUCCACACUGUAAACGAUGAUAACUCGCUGUCGGCGAUAUACAGUCGGUGGCCAAGCGAAAGCGAUAAGUUAUCCACCUGGGGAGUACGACCGCAAGGUUGAAACUCAAAGGAAUUGACGGGG
rnacentral:rRNA from 1 species